CACGUAGGGGCCAAGCGUUGUCCGGAAUUAUUGGGCGUAAAGAGCUCGUAGGCGGUUUGUCGCGUCUGCUGUGAAAACUCGGGGCUUAACCCCGGGCCUGCAGUGGGUACGGGCAGACUAGAGUGCGGUAGGGGAGACUGGAAUUCCUGGUGUAGCGGUGAAAUGCGCAGAUAUCAGGAGGAACACCGGUGGCGAAGGCGGGUCUCUGGGCCGUAACUGACGCUGAGGAGCGAAAGCGUGGGGAGCGAACAGG
rnacentral:rRNA from 1 species